rnacentral:rRNA from 1 species
UGGGGAAUUUUCCACAAUGGGCGGAAGCCUGAUGGAGCAAUACCGCGUGAGGGAUGAAGGAUCGUGGUUCGUAAACCUCUUUUCUUAGGGAAGAAUAAAUGACGGUACCUAAGGAAUAAGCACCGGCUAACUCUGUGCCAGCAGCCGCGGUAAUACAGAGGGUGCAAGCGUUGUCCGGAAUGAUUGGGCGUAAAGCAUCUGUAGGUGGUUUCUAAAGUCAGCUGUUAAAUCCCAGAGCUCAACUUUGGUCAAGCAGCUGAGUACUUAGGGACUUGAGUAUGGUAGGGGUAGAGGGAAUUCCUUGUUUAGCGGUGAAAUGCAUAGAGAUAAGGAAGAACACCAGUGGCGAAAGCGCUCUACUAGGCCAUGACUGACACUGAGAGAUGAAAGUUAGGGGAGC